AGCUUUGCUCAGUGGCAGUAUCGUAGCCAAUGAGGUUUAUCCGAGGCGCGAUUAUUGCUAAUUAAAGCAUUUAAUAUUCCAUUUUUGACUAAACAGAAACAGAGUUUAUUCACUCAAGAAAUACUGACUGAACACCUAGUU